rnacentral:rRNA from 1 species
GUGACUGCUACCUUUUGUAUAAUGGGUCAGCGACUUAUUGUCAGUGGCAAGGUUAACCGAAUAGGGGAGCCGUAGAGAAAUCGAGUCCGAACAGGGCGACAGUCGCUGGGUGUAGACCCGAAACCAAGUGAUCUACCCAUGAGCAGGUUGAAGGUGCGGUAACACGAACUGGAGGACCGAACCCGUGAAUGUUGAAAAAUUCUGGGAUGACCUGUGGAUAGGGGUGAAAGGCUAAACAAACCGGGAAAUAGCUGGUUCUCCGCGAAAACUAUUGAGGUAGUGCCUCGGACGAACACCGAUGGGGGUAGAGCACUGGAUGAGUGAGGGGGUCGCGAGAUCUACCGAGCUUAACCAAACUCCGAAUACCAUGAGUACAGCUUUGGCAGACAGACACCGGUGCUAGUCCGUAUCGUCAAAAGGGAAACAGCCUAGACCACCAGCUAAGGCCCCUAAAUCGUGCACUAAGUGGGAAAGCAUGUGGGAUUUCCAAAAAAGGAUGUGGCAGGUUUGACAGCAGGAUUGUUAGCUUAGAAGGCAGCCAUCCUUUAAAGAAAGCGUAACAGCUCACUGGUCUAAAUAAGAGAUCCUGCGGCGAAGAUGUAACGGGGCUAAAGUGAUGCACCGAAGCUUAGGGUUCAGUCUUUGACUGAGCGGUAGCGGAGCGUUCCGUAAGCCUGUGAAGGUCAACCGUGAGGUCGCUGGAGGUAUCAGAAGUGCCGAAUGCUGACAUGAGUAGCGAUUAUGCGGGUGAAAAGCCCCUCGCCGAAAUUCCAAGGGUUCCUGUCCAACGUUAAUCGACACUGGGUUGAGUCGAUCCUAAGGCGAGGCCGAAAGGCGUAGUCGAUGGGAACCACGUUAAUAUUCGUGGGCCUGGUGGUGUGUGACGGAUGCCGUAAAUUGUUCGGGCUUAUUGGAUUGCUCCGGGCAGUGAAGGGGUCCCAGGAAAUAGCCCCACCGUAUAGACCGUACCCGAAACCGACACAGGUGGAAUGGUAGAGUAUACCAAGGCGUUUGAGAGAAGUGUCCUGAAGGAACUCGGCAAAUUGCCUCCGUACCUUCGGAAGAAGGAGGCCCCAUCUCAAGGCAACUUUUGAUGGGGGGCACAGGCCAGGGGGUAGCGACUGUUUAGCAAAAACACAGGUCCGUGCGAAGUCGUAAGACGAUGUAUACGGACUGACUCCUGCCCGGUGCCGGAAGGUUAAAAGGAGGUGUGCAAGCACUGAACUUAAGCCCCAGUAAACGGCGGUGGUAACUAUAACCAGUCCUAAGGUAGCGAAAUUCCUUGUCGCAUAAGUUCGCGCCUGCACGAAUGGUGUAACGACUUGC